rnacentral:rRNA from 1 species
UGAGCUUGAUCCUGGCUCAGGAUGAACGCUAGCGGCAGGCUUAACACAUGCAAGUCGAGGGGUAUGCUUCUUCGGGAGCAGAGACCGGCGCACGGGUGCGUAACGCGUAUGCAAUCUACCUUUUACAGAGGGAUAGCCCAGAGAAAUUUGGAUUAAUACCUCAUAGUAUAAUAGCUCGGCAUCGAGCAAUUAUUAAAGUCACAACGGUAAAAGAUGAGCAUGCGUCCCAUUAGCUAGUUGGUAAGGUAACGGCUUACCAAGGCUACGAUGGGUAGGGGUCCUGAGAGGGAGAUCCCCCACACUGGUACUGAGACACGGACCAGACUCCUACGGGAGGCAGCAGUGAGGAAUAUUGGACAAUGGGCGCAAGCCUGAUCCAGCCAUGCCGCGUGCAGGAUGACGGUCCUAUGGAUUGUAAACUGCUUUUGUACAGGAAGAAACAGUUCUACGUGUAGAACCUGACGUAC